GGAUUAGUAGUCAAGUGGUACGACAUAGCUCUUUCAAUGCUAGAACCGCAGGUUCGAUCCCUGCCUAGUCUA
rnacentral:tRNA from 1 species